UAAGGUUUCAUUUGUCUGCUAGUUAAGACGAAUGAAAAGCAUGCAAGUCAUUGUAUUUUGCAUCUGAGUUUACCUUCAGGCACAAAUCCAAACCGAAGGACAAAGAUUUAAAAAAAAAGAACAGUGUUGCCUCACCUUUGGACGGCAGCUCAGCAUGGAUCCAAGGCAGAUGUGGCCCUGUCUCUAAGAGAGAAGAGACUGAGUAUCAAUGAUCCUUUGCAAGAAGGAACAUCUGACACAGUCUUAAAGAUGACAAAUGACACUGGCAUCAGAGUAAUGUAAUUGGCUACAAAGACAAGCAAGUUUUAUAUUUUAUUGCCGUUAUGUAAUGAUUGACUGGAAGAGCUCAUACGCUUGGUUGCAGGUUGAGUUGUUUAAAGGCAGUAUUGACCUUCGUUUUCUAUUUUGAAUGUUUUGGCACAGUUAGAGCCUUUUGCAAGCACAGUGUGUCACUGCUCAGGUGUGUUACCUGUUUUGAUAAGGUGGAGUUUGGGUUGACAUGAAAGCAAUCAAGAACACCUGUAGAGCAGGGGGAUCAAACUCAUUUUAAUUUUGGGCCAAAUCAAGAUCAUGGACGCUCUUAAAGGGCCGGUUGUGCCAGAAUGUAUGGAUAAAACAU